UCCGUAGGUGAACCUGCGGAAGGAUCAUUACAGAGUUCAUGCCCUUCGGGGUAGAUCUCCCACCCUUGUGUAUCAUUAUAGAAUGUUGCUUUGGCGGGCCGCGCCUAGUGUGCCUGGAUUCGCGUUCAGCGUGCCCGCCAGAGGACCCCUAAACUCUGAAUGUUAGUGUCGUCUGAGUACUAUUAAAUAGUUAAAACUUUCAACAACGGAUCUCUUGGUUCUGGCAUCGAUGAAGAACGCAGCGAAAUGCGAUAAGUAAUGUGAAUUGCAGAAUUCAGUGAAUCAUCGAAUCUUUGAACACACAUUGCGCCCCCUGGUAUUCCGGGGGGCAUGCCUGUUCGAGCGUCAUCUAUACCAAUCUAGCCCGGCUAGGUGUUGGGCUUCGCCGUUUGGCGGGCCUUAAAACCAGUGGCGGUGCUCUUAGGCUCUACGCGUAGUAAUUUUCUCGCUAUAGGGUCCUGGGAGAUGCUUGCCAGCAACCCCAAAUUUUUCUUAGGUUGACCUCGGAUCAGGUAGGGAUACCCGCCGAACUUAAGCAUAUCAAUAAGCGGAGGAAAAGAAACCAACCAAUC
rnacentral:rRNA from 1 species